UACAGAGGUCUCAAGCGUUGUUCGGAUUCACUGGGCGUAAAGGGUGCGUAGGCGGCUUGGUGGGUCUGGUGUGAAAGCCCCGGGCUCAGCCCGGGAAGGGCACUAGAAACUGCCGAGCUGGAGUGCCGGAGGGGAGAGUGGAAUUCCUGGUGUAGCGGUGAAAUGCGUAGAUAUCAGGAGGAAUACCGGUGGCGAAGGCGGGUCUCUGGGCCGAUACUGACGCUGAGGAGCGAAAGCGUGGGGAGCGAACAGG
rnacentral:rRNA from 1 species